rfam:Ornithorhynchus anatinus chromosome 1, whole genome shotgun sequence.
AGCAGCGUGGCUCGGUGGCAAGAGCCCCGGCUUGGGAGUCGGACGUCACGGGUUCGAAUCCCGGCUCUGCCG